UAAUUAUUUGUUGGUGUUUCUAUGGAUUUCAUUAAGAUUUUUGUUUUUUAAAAUUAAGUUUCCUGUCGGUUGUGGUACGAGUGUCUUAUUAUCAGUAAUUUGUUCUCAUAGGAGGAUACUUCAAUUAAUAGGUUGGAAAAAUAACAAGAAUUUGCCUGCACACUUUAGUUUUAAGGGAAACUGUCACACGUUUGUUCAUUUAGUAUCAUUCUUUUGUAUUUUUGCGUUACAUAAUAAUAUAUUAGUUACGUUUUUAUGUUUUGUGAAGCAUAUACUGUUAUCCAGUUAUGCAUGUUAUUUGUUCGUAAACAGAACAACACGAUAAAGGUAUGAUUCAUGAUGAUCUAUAAAUAACUAUAAAGAAGAGUGAGCUAGACUGGUCUUCAUCUCAGCAAACAGAAACUGAAUACAAGCAAAUUGGAAUCUAAAACAUGUCCAAGUUUCUAUGCAGCUACACAAGCUAGUUACUUGAGCCUGAGGGAAGCAACUAUUAGCCAUGCUAUAAUCUUAGCAAUUGAUAACUUUAGGCAAUGAUUAGCAACUCGGCUUUGAUGGGGUUGAAUGGGUUCAGAUUUGGUGGUUUUGCCUCUUAUUUUAACUGAAGAGUGUUAAAUGUGCAGUAAGAGUGAAAAACAAAAAGAAUUUCUUUAUAGAAAAAGGGGCUGAGAAAAUGUAUCAGAAUUAUUGCAGAGCAUAUUGUAUCUGUUGGAUUUUCAGGUAAAUAUUCAACAUUAAUCACUUGAAGAUAUGCAGAGAUUUGAAAUGGUCUAUAUUGGCCAAACACCAUUUGGGAUUACCAAGACCAAUAAACAGUCAUUGUUUUGGAUUUAAUUCAGAUGAAAUUGGAACUUUCUGGCCAAACUCUUAUAAGCCCUAGCGACUGGCAUUGAUAACUUGAGGCAAAAAGGCCUCUCAUUACGUAUAAGCACUUAUGUCAUCCAACUUUGGUCUAUUUUGCAUGAUUUUGCAGCCUACCAUGACACGAACAUCUUAAUUUGUUCUCUUCACAGAGAGAGAGAGAGAGAGAGAGAGAGAGAGAGAGAGAGGUUGAAGUACAGGUCAUAUCUGAUCCAAUGUUAUUUUGACUAGACUGAUGAUUGUCACAUGUAUUACAGUAGUAUACAGGACCGCUAGAGAAACAAAGAUUACUUUGUGGUUCUGGAUUACUGAUGUUAUUUUGACUAACAGCAUACAUGAACACAUCACUUAAUAGGUGAUAGACAACAUAUGUUGAUCCUGAACUUGUACUAGAUUUAUUUUAAUGUUGCCCCUUUUUUCCCUUUCCUUUUGAAACAUGGGGAUACUUUGAUGAAUGGCCUUUAACACAUGUUCUCACUGGCUUAUAUUAUUGUUCUUGGUUCUAGUUUCAAGCAAUCAGUGGUUCAACCAGAUCUCAAGACACAGUCUCAUAUUCUAGCAAAUGUGACUUUAAUUCAUCUCACCUGCUUGUAUUUCUCGUUCAUUUUAUUUUUUCAGUUGAUUAUUAACUUUCACUAUCUAGAAAUACAAGAAAUCAUUCUCAGUUUUAUAUUUAAAAUGAUUUUUCAUAGGUAUUGGAAACUUGUCUUAGGAAUAUUUUGAGAUCUAUGGAACUUUUUAAGAGUACUAAUUCUCUUGGUUUCUGUACAACUCCAUUCAAGAUAUUGGAAAACCAUAUAGGAUGCUAGUACUCAUGUUUCAUUUCACUCUGUAUAUGUAUGUGUUUGUGUUCUCUUACUUUAUAAGGAUGUCGAAGGAACUUUUUAUCUUGAUGGCUGUGGUUUAUCACAAUAAUUUGUUGAAGAUGAUGAGUAAUUAUUUCAGGUUAUUCUCUUAUGAGUUAGAUCUUAAGUGAGUGUAAUUUCAUAUGUACGAGCAUCAUGAGAUGCCCAUUUAAAAAGUAAUAAAUGUGAAGAGACAUAAUUCGCUUGGUGCAAACAGGUUCUCUUUGUUCUUUGCGUAAAUAGGCAUGCAAUACUUCAUGCAUCAGAAAUUACAUCCAACUCAUAAUUGUCUUCCUUGUGGUCAACAUUAUCUUCUGUAGGACAUUUUUAGAGCAGAUGGUUAUAAUUUUUGUAGAUUUCUGUUGUUCUCAAGUUAAGGUAGAUUUAGUCAAAUAUGUCCUCUCUUUUUCUCUGUGAUAAAUUUAUUCUAGGUUAGUUACUGAAGUUCAUAUUGUGGAAUAGGUGAAUAGCCAUAAUAUUUUGAAAAUUUGUGCACCUGAUGUCUACCUCAUUGACCAAAAUCAACCAUGUUAUGUACAAGCUUGUGGAGGUAAAUUCUGGGUAAAACCAGAAAGGGUUGGAUAUUGAGCCACAUGGAAUUGAUUUUAAAUACUGGGACAAGGCAAAUGAGGUGGCUAGAUUCUAGUUUUUUGUAUAAAGAGAUCAACCGUCCAAAAGUUAUAUAGACUUUAUGGAAGUUUGGAUGAAGAGGGAGCAUAUUAACUUUUACCCUCUAUUUGGUAUGACGGAUGGAUUGAAAAAAGGAGGGAUAGAGGAGGAAGGAUGGAUGAGGAAGAGGAUCCUCUCAUAUGUUUUUUGAGACAUAGAAGAAUAGAUGGGAAUGAUUAUUUUCUCCAUUUGGUAUAGGAGGAAUGAA